UACAGAGGUCUCAAGCGCUGUUCGGAUUCAUUGGGCGUAAAGGGUGCGUAGGUGGCGCUGUAAGUGGGGUGUGAAAUUUCGGAGCUCAACUCCGAAACUGCAUUCCAUACUGCAGUGCUUGAGGACUGGAGAGGAGACUGGAAUUCACGGUGUAGCAGUGAAAUGCGUAGAGAUCGUGAGGAAGACCAGUGGCGAAGGCGGGUCUCUGGACAGUUCCUGACACUGAGGCACGAAGGCUAGGGGAGCAAACGGG
rnacentral:rRNA from 1 species